rnacentral:rRNA from 1 species
GACGAACGCUGGCGGCGUGCUUAACACAUGCAAGUCGAGCGGUAAGGCCCUUUCGGGGGUACACGAGCGGCGAACGGGUGAGUAACACGUGGGUGACCUGCCCUCAGCUCUGGGAUAAGCCUGGGAAACUGGGUCUAAUACUGGAUAUGACUCCAUGACGCAUGUUGUGGGGUGGGAAGCCUUGUGCGGCUGAGGAUGGGCCCGCGGCCUAUCAGCUUGUUGGUGGGGNGAUGGCCUACCAAGGCGACGACGGGUAGCCGGCCUGAGAGGGCGACCGGCCACACUGGGACUGAGACACGGCCCAGACUCCUACGGGAGGCAGCAGUGGGGAAUCUUGCGCAAUGGGCGAAAGCCUGACGCAGCGACGCCGCGUGAGGGAUGACGGCCUGG